rnacentral:rRNA from 1 species
UACAGAGGCCCAAGCGUUGUUCGGAUUCACUGGGCGUAAAGGGUGCGUAGGCGGUCGGGUAAGUCUGAUGUGAAAUCUCACAGCUUAACUGUGAAACUGCAUUGGAUACUAUCCGGCUAGAGGAAUGGAGGGGAGACUGGAAUACUUGGUGUAGCAGUGAAAUGCGUAGAUAUCAAGUGGAACACCAGUGGCGAAGGCGAGUCUCUGGACAUUUCCUGACGCUGAGGCACGAAAGCCAGGGGAGCAAACGGG